rnacentral:rRNA from 2 species
UUGGAGGGCAAGUCUGGUGCCAGCAGCCGCGGUAAUUCCAGCUCCAAUAGCGUAUAUUAAAGUUGUUGCAGUUAAAAAGCUCGUAGUUGAAUUUCGAGAUCAGUACGCUGGUCGUGCCUUUGGUAUGCACUGGUGUCACUGGUUUCUCCCUUCUGAAGAACCGUCAUGUCAUUAAGUUGGUGUGGCGGGGAAUCAGGACUGUUACUUUGAAAAAAUUAGAGUGUUUAAAGCAGGCUCGCGCUUGAAUACAUUAGCAUGGAAUAAUGAAAUAGGACGUUUGACCCUAUUUUGUUGGUUUCUAGGAUCGACGUAAUGAUUAAUAGGGAUAGUUGGGGGCAUUAGUAUUCAAUUGUCAGAGGUGAAAUUCUUGGAUUUAUUGAAGACUAACUACUGCGAAAGCAUUUGCCAAGGAUGUUUUCAUUAAUCAAGAACGAAAGUUAGGGGAUCGAAGACGAUCAGAUACCGUCGUAGUCUUAACCAUAAACUAUGCCGACUAGGGAUCGGAUGAUGUUAAUUUUUUAAUGACUCAUUCGGCGCCUUACGGGAAAC